rnacentral:rRNA from 1 species
UACGAAGGGGGCUAGCGUUGUUCGGAAUUACUGGGCGUAAAGGGCGCGUAGGCGGUGUGUCAAGUCAGGCGUGAAAGCCCCGGGCUCAACCUGGGAACAGCGCUUGAGACUGGCACGCUCGAGUUCGGGAGAGGAUGGUGGAAUUCCCAGUGUAGAGGUGAAAUGCGCAGAUAUCAGGAGGAACACCAAUAGCGAAGGCAGCUCGCUGGGACGGUACUGACGCUGAGGCGCGAAAGCGUGGGGAGCGAACAGG